rnacentral:rRNA from 1 species
UACGUAGGGUGCAAGCGUUAAUCGGAAUUACUGGGCGUAAAGCGUGCGCAGGCGGUUUCGUAAGUCUGUCGUGAAAUCCCCGGGCUUAACCUGGGAAUGGCGAUGGAGACUGCGAGGCUAGAGUUUGGCAGAGGGGGGUAGAAUUCCACGUGUAGCAGUGAAAUGCGUAGAGAUCCGGAGGAACACCAGUGGCGAAGGCGACACGCUGGGCCAUACCUGACGCUAAAGCGCGACAGCAUGGGGAGCAAACGGG